rnacentral:rRNA from 1 species
AAUGAACGCUGGCGGCAGGCCUAAAACAUGCAAGUCGAACGCCCUAGCAAUAGGGAGUGGCGCACGGGUGAGUAACAUGUGGGAAUAUGCCUUUUGGUACGGAACAACGUUUGGAAACGAACGCUAAUACCGUAUGAUGUCUUCGGACCAAAGAUUUAUCGGCAAAGGAUGAGCCCGCGUAGGAUUAGGUAGUUGGUGGGGUAAAGGCUUACCAAGGCGACGAUCUAUAGCUGUUCUGAGAGGAAGAUCAGCCACACUGGGACUGAGACACGGCCCAGACUCCUACGGGAGGCAGCAGUUAGGAAUAUUGGACAAUGGGCGCAAGCCUGAUCCAGCCAUGCCGCGUGAGUGAUGAAGGCCUUCGGGUUGUAAAGCUCUUUAGCCGACGAAUAUAAUGACUGUAGUCGGAGAAUAAGCCCCGGCUAACUUCGUGCCAGCAGCCGCCGUAACAC